AAAGGCCUACCAAGGUCAUUCGAUCAGUAGCUGGUCUGAGAGGAUGAUCAGCCACACUGGGACUGAGACACGGCCCAGACUCCUACGGGAGGCAGCAGUGGGGAAUUUUCCGCAAUGGGCGAAAGCCUGACGGAGCAACGCCGCGUGAGGGAUGAAGGCCUCUGGGCUGUAAACCUCUUUUCUCAAGGAAGAAGAUCUGACGGUACUUGAGGAAUAAGCCA
rnacentral:rRNA from 1 species